CAGUCGACGAGGAGCUAUUUUCUUCGGAAGAAGUUUUCCUAGUGGCGAACGGGUGAGUAACGCGUUGGUGACCUGCCCCGAAGUGGGGGAUAACAGUUCGAAAGGACUGCUAAUACCCCAUAAUAUCAACAGGGUUAGAGGCCUGUCGAUUAAAGGAGUAAUCCGCUUUGGGAGGGGCCUGCGUCCCAUCAGCUUGUUGGUAGGGUAACGGCCUACCAAGGCUAUGACGGGUAGGGGACCUGAGAGGGUGGCCCCCCACAAUGGCACUGAAACACGGGCCAUACUCCUACGGGUGGCAGCAGUAGGGAAUAUUGGACAAUGGGCGAGAGCCUGAUCCAGCAACGCCGCGUGUGCGAUGACGGCCUUCGGGUUGUAAAGCACUUUUAGAGGAGAUGAGAAAGGACAGUAUCCUCUGAAUAAGCCUCGGCGAACUACGUGCCAGCAGCCGCGGUAAAACGUAGGAGGCUAGCGUUAUCCGGAUUUAUUGGGCGUAAAGCGCGUGCAGGCGGUCUGACAAGUUGGAUGUGAAAGCUCCUGGCUUAACCGGGAGAGGUCGUUCAAAACUGUCAGACUAGAGAAUGGGAGAGGGAGGUGGAAUUCCGGGUGUAGUGGUGAAAUGCGUAGAUAUCCGGAGGAACACCAGUGGCGAAAGCGGCCUCCUGGACCACUUCUG
rnacentral:rRNA from 1 species